rnacentral:rRNA from 1 species
UACGUAGGGUGCGAGCGUUGUCCGGAAUUAUUGGGCGUAAAGAGCUUGUAGGCGGUUUGUCGCGUCUGCCGUGAAAAUCCGGGGCUCAACCCCGGACUUGCGGUGGGUACGGGCAGACUAGAGUGUGGUAGGGGAGACUGGAGUUCCUGGUGUAGCGGUGAAAUGCGCAGAUAUCAGGAGGAACACCGAUGGCGAAGGCAGGUCUCUGGCCACUACUGACGCUGAGAAGCGAAAGCGUGGGGAGCGAACAGG